rnacentral:rRNA from 1 species
UACGUAGGGGGCAAGCGUUGUCCGGAUUUAUUGGGCGUAAAGAGCGUGUAGGCGGCUAGGUAGGUCCGUUGUGAAAACUCGAGGCUCAACCUCGAGACGCCGGUGGAAACCAUCUAGCUAGAGUCCGGAAGGGGCGAGUGGAAUUCCUGGUGUAGCGGUGAAAUGCGCAGAUAUCAGGAGGAACACCAAUGGCGAAGGCAGCUCGCUGGGACGUGACUGACGCUGAGACGCGAAAGCGUGGGGAGCAAACAGG